GAAUGGCUACACAAGAUGCAUUUCCAUCGUUUUUAAAACCGUCAUUUUCAUCACUUUUAAAAUUACACAAACUCUUCCCGUCUGGAUUGGUCGUUAACGGGUUCUGAAGAGCCUCAACCAAGAAAGGAUCCACCCCCAUAGCGAUAGGUGUUGUUACUGAAUUCUGGAGUUCCAUCAUAUCUUUUUUCUUCUUAAUUAAAACAAAAGUUAAUAAGAUAAGAUAAGAUAGAUCUAAUCUAAGCUACUAAUACUAAGGAGGUAUUGGAUAAUUGGAGAAAGAAAGAAAGAAUCUUCUUCUUCUCUCUCUCUCCUCCUAUAUCCCCAGGGGAAGGGAGAAGGUUCAAGAAGAAGAAACUUUGAGACAGAGAUUGAUCGACUGCC
rnacentral:lncRNA from 1 species